UGUCGUGUCUUUUUGCAGAAUCCAGACUCCAAAAUGAUGCAAAUCAACCUGACUGGAUUUUUGAAUGGAAAAAAUGCUCGAGAAUUUAUGGGAGAACUGUGGCCCCUGCUGCUAAGUGCACAAGAAAACAUCGCGGGAAUCCCUUCUGCUUUCCUAGAACUGAAGAAAGAAGAAAUAAAACAAAGACAGAUUGAACAAGAAAAACUGGCAUCUAUGAAAAAGCAAGAUGAAGACAAAGAUAAAAGAGAUAAGGAAGAAAAAGAAAGCAGCAGAGAAAAAAGGGAGCGGUCUCGUAGCCCAAGAAGACGCAAAUCCAGAUCUCCUUCCCCUAGAAGACGAUCUUCCCCUGUCAGGAGAGAGAGAAAGCGCAGUCAUUCUCGAUCUCCCCGUCACAGAACCAAGAGCCGGAGUCCUUCCCCUGCUCCAGAAAAGAAGGAAAAAACUCCAGAGCUCCCAGAACCUUCAGUGAAAGUAAAAGAACCUUCAGUACAAGAGGCUACUUCUACUAGUGACAUUCUGAAAGUUCCCAAACCUGAACCUAUACCAGAGCCUAAAGAACCUUCUCCGGAAAAAAAUUCCAAAAAAGAAAAGGAGAAGGAGAAGACCCGACCACGAUCUCGGUCACGCUCCAAAUCAAGAUCCCGGACGCGGUCCCGCUCUCCUUCUCACACUCGACCUAGACGGCGCCAUAGAUCCCGAUCAAGAUCGUAUUCACCUAGAAGGCGGCCAAGCCCAAGAAGGCGGCCAUCUCCUCGAAGAAGAACUCCGCCAAGAAGAAUGCCUCCUCCACCAAGGCACAGAAGGAGUAGAUCUCCAGUAAGACGAAGAAGACGUUCGUCAGCAUCCUUGUCUGGGAGUAGCUCAUCAUCCUCUUCAUCUCGUUCACGGUCACCACCAAAGAAGCCUCCCAAGAGGACAUCCAGCCCCCCUCGGAAAACUCGUAGGUUAUCUCCUUCAGCAAGUCCUCCAAGGCGAAGGCACAGGCCAUCACCUCCUGCAACUCCACCACCCAAAACUCGGCAUUCCCCUACACCCCAGCAGUCAAACCGUACAAGAAAAAGUCGUGUUUCUGUGUCUCCAGGGAGAACUUCAGGUAAAGUGACAAAACAUAAAGGUACUGAGAAAAGAGAAUCCCCUUCACCAGCACCGAAGCCUAGAAAAGUAGAGUUAUCUGAAUCGGAAGAUAAAGGUGGCAAAAUGGCUGCAGCAGAUUCUGUGCAGCAGAGACGCCAAUACAGACGACAAAACCAGCAGUCUUCAUCUGACUCUGGCUCCUCCUCCUCCUCAGAAGAUGAACGACCCAAGAGAUCCCAUGUGAAGAAUGGUGAGGUUGGCAGGCGGCGGAGACAUUCCCCUUCCCGGAGUGCUUCUCCAUCACCACGAAAGCGCCAAAAAGAGACUUCCCCUCGGAUGCAGAUGGGAAAGCGAUGGCAAUCGCCAGUGACUAAAAGUGGUAGACGGAGGAGAAGUCCAUCCCCACCACCCACCAGAAGGCGACGGUCUCCUUCUCCCGCCCCUCCUCCUCGACGGCGCAGGACUCCCACACCACCACCACGACGAAGGACUCCUUCUCCUCCCCCACGUCGGCGCUCACCUUCUCCUAGAAGAUACUCUCCUCCAAUACAGAGGAGAUACUCUCCUUCUCCACCUCCAAAGAGAAGAACGGCUUCACCUCCUCCCCCUCCUAAACGAAGAGCAUCACCAUCUCCACCACCAAAGCGGCGGGUCUCCCAUUCUCCACCUCCCAAACAAAGAAGCUCCCCAGUCACCAAGAGACGUUCACCUUCAUUAUCAUCCAAGCAUAGGAAAGGGUCUUCCCCAAGCCGCUCUACCAGGGAGGCCCGAUCACCACAACCAAACAAACGGCAUUCGCCCUCACCACGGCCUCGAGCUCCUCAGACCUCCUCAAGUCCUCCACCCGUUCGAAGAGGAGCGUCGUCAUCACCCCAAAGAAGGCAGUCCCCGUCUCCAAGUACUAGGCCCAUUAGGAGAGUCUCCAGGACUCCGGAACCUAAAAAGAUAAAAAAGGCUGCUUCCCCAAGCCCACAGUCUGUAAGGAGGGUCUCAUCCUCCCGAUCUGUCUCCGGGUCUCCUGAGCCAGCAGCUAAAAAGCCCCCAGCACCUCCAUCCCCCGUCCAGUCUCAGUCACCGUCUACAAACUGGUCACCAGCUGUACCGGUCAAAAAGGCCAAAAGCCCAACACCGAGCCCAUCACCGCCAAGAAAUUCAGAUCAGGAGGGAGGUGGAAAGAAAAAGAAGAAAAAGAAGGACAAGAAACACAAAAAGGAUAAGAAGCACAAGAAGCACAAAAAACACAAGAAGGAAAAGGCUGUGGCUGCAGCUGCUGCAGCUGCUGUGACCCCUGCAGCCAUUGCAGCUGCCACAACCACAUUAGCACAGGAAGAGCCAGUGGCAGCGCCAGAGCCGAAGAAGGAGACUGAAAGUGAAGCUGAAGAUAACCUUGAUGAUUUAGAAAAGCACCUGCGUGAAAAGGCCCUGAGAUCAAUGAGGAAGGCCCAAGUGUCCCCACAGUCUUAGGGGGAAAUGUUUGUUAUGAUGUAAAUUUUAUUUGGUUUGUACGCAGUUCAAUUUCAAAAUUGCUAAAAUGUGUUUGAGCUUUAGACUAUAACAUUUGUUGUAAUAAUUGCUAGGUUGAAGUUCAACAUGUAAAAAAAGGGGGCAUGGAUUUACAUUGCAAAAGGUGUCCACAGUGUAUUAGUGACAUUCUUUCAUUGACAGCUGACAUAAUUCAUUGAGUGAAAUAUUUUAAGCCAAAAAAAAUUCCCUUUUUAAAAAAGGGGGUUUAAAUACUGUUGGCAUUUUUAUGGUUCCUUUAAAUGCCCUGGCUAUUCCCAGAGGGGUUUUUUGUUUGUUUUUUUGGUUUUGAUUUUGUUUUUGUUUUUCUUUCUUCUUAUUUUUUUCAUUUGAGUCUUAGCUCCCAUUUAAGUUAUGCUUCUGACCUUGUAUGGUCUGUAAGCUUGCCCAGAAAUAAGACCACUGUUUUGAACUACCACAAAAGUAUAAAUGAAUAUUUUAAUGCCACAAUCUUUCCUGUUGCCUGUGGAGUCUCUGCUGAAAUGAAUCAGGAUUCGAGCUCUAGGAUGAGACAGAAAAUGAAAGCAUGUUGUUUGCCAGGACACUGUGGGUUUAUAUUGAUGUGUAACAAGUUGAUUUGGAACACUGGACUCUCAUUCUGUUCUUCUGGUUUUGUUUUUUUUGUUUUGUUUUUUUCUUUUGUAAAGGCAAUGAGCUAGUCCCAGAAAGGAUCCUUCAGUUACAUACAAUUUGUUUAAUGAAAUGUCAUGGCUCUGUUCAUAUUUUUGUCUUGUUCUUCCAAUUGGUACAUACAACUUUCAGAGCCUCUUGUAUUUGGAAGGCUGGAAGGGCGCAGACUUUGGAAUAGUGUCUUGGUUUCACUGUUUUUGUUUUGAUUUUUUUUUUUGAUUUUUUUUAAACUAAAGCUAUAUAAAGCUUGUGGAUUAAAC
rnacentral:lncRNA from 1 species